AAUCCAAGGGUUCUUUAAAACCUACUCCGAAUUUGCACCUCGGGCUCUCUGGAUU
rnacentral:tRNA from 1 species